rfam:Corynebacterium testudinoris strain DSM 44614, complete genome.
CGGGGCGUGGCGCAGCUUGGUAGCGCACCUGCUUUGGGAGCAGGGGGUCGCAGGUUCAAAUCCUGUCGCCCCGA